GGCGGGAAGGCGUGGCGGGAGAGACUUACCGAGACUCUGAGUGUGGUGGGCCAGCCAUCAUCCAGCACGGGGCCCUGGUCGGGGUCCUCCAGGGAAUACUCCACCGAGAAGACUCCCGUGACAUGGCUGUGGCAGGUGGGGCUACACCCCGAGGACUACAGGUCAGGGACAGUCCAACAGGCACGAGGACUUCUCACACCCCUUUGCUUUCUGGCCACAGGCUGUGAGCACCCAGGCCAGCCCCCCUCCCUCCUGAGUUUCGUCCCCUGCUAAGGAAGCCAUGGGUGUCUGACAGCUGGAAGCAGGGCUUUGGAAGAGGUAGGUGGACAUACACCCCCCGGGCUCCUCUCUGGGGCAUGAGUUGGGGCGUGGGUGGCCAAGGUCCAGAGCACGACCCCGAGCUGGCCUCCUGUGGACCACUGCAGGCUCAGAAGGGGCCUGACACCCGCCAGGCUCUCACCCCUCCAGUUCUGUGUCCCCUGCAGAAGGGGCGACUGCGCUCACCAGGACGUGGAAGUUGAUGCGCUGACAGUGCUCCUGGCCCGAGG